rfam:Myotis davidii contig178928, whole genome shotgun sequence.
GCCAGCGUGGCGCAGUGGGUAGAGCGUCAGCCUGCGGCCUGAAGGGUCCCGGGUUCGAUUCCCGGUCAGGGCA